rnacentral:lncRNA from 1 species
AUGCAGGGUAAGGCAGUGGGGCCUGGAAAUGUGACACAGGUCUCCCCAUGUGGGGACAGCAGAAUCACAGAGAAACAAAGCCGGGGCUCUGAUGACCUGGAAACCUCUAGCAAACUGCCUGCCCUACUGCUAGACUUUGCAGUGGCUGAAGACAACGAGCGCCAGUUGGGACAACCAGGGAUUAUGAAGUUGAUGCAGUGGAUACACGAAGAGAUGCCUGCGCUGCCUCCACCUGCAGCGACUCCAGCUGCCUCAGAUCACCUCCCAGCAGCACCUACCAGCUCCGCCGAGCAGGCCCCUCGCGUGGCUUCGGCCCUUUGCCCCGCACAGCCCGCACAUGGAGGCACCAGCCUGGCAGCCCCAGGGAGGCGCAGACGCCCCCAUCGCCAGUGAGCAGAGGCUGCGGGAGCCCCAGCACCCCGCCUCCUCCAGACGCACAAUUCCAGAGGCGUCUGCACACUGCCCAGGGCGCCAGCAGAGCCGAGCCCCUGCCGCCCACUGCUGUGGCCAUCCUCAUGCGCCCUCAUGCUGGUCUCUACUUCCCAGCCUCCUCCUGGGGCCGCCCCCACCUGGGGGCAGUCCUGUGUCCGGCCUGCUCUUGGAACUCGAACUCAGCAGAAUUCUGGUAUGUACAUUUUCGUUUCUCUGUAUUCCACUUUCAAUGGCAUAAUUUAUUUUACAAGGAUAUGCCCUAUCUAAUUGGAGUAUCGUUUUAAACUCGCGUUUUAAAUGACAUUUAAUGGUUGAGAAAUGAUCAACACACAAUGAAAUACAAAGCUAAAUGUAGCCUCCUCGUUCCUAAGAUGUCUGCGUCAUCCCUAGCAUGCAGCGUGUUUGCAUGCGUGUCCACGCCUGUGUGCGCGUGCAUGUGUGCGUACAUGCGUGUGCGUGCGUGUGUGUAUAGAAAACCCAAGGGUAAUGUUAUGAUAUGAACCCCGUGCCUCUCUCUGUACAAAGGAGAACACAGGCCACUUUUUCCUCUCCUACAAUUCGUAUUUCCAGUAUAGUCCCCAAAACCCAACAUUUUUAAGUUUAAAGCUACACAAAUUAUACAACCUUAAACAGCACGAAGGUUGCACAGGCUCUUCCUGUGUGAGGUAGGCAUCCCAGAGGGAUCCAGGGGUGAGAGGAGAGGCCCCGAGUUGGCCCUUGUACAGAACGCAGGGGCUGGAGGAGGUACAGCAAAGCAGACUUUGCUACUGCAGCCACCUCGUCUCCGCCAUGUCCAGGAGACACUUCCUAGAGAAAGCUCAUGAGCCACCAUCCCACAGGAAUCUGCAUCCACCUCUCCCAAAAGGGUCCCUGUUCUUCCAAGGGAAGCGCCCCACCCAGAGUUCUGGGGCCACUCUGACUGGGUGAAGGUACUGGUUAAGAACCAAGCAUGUGCCAGGCAUGGUGGUGCAUGCCUGUAAUCCCAGCACUCGGGAAGCUGAGGCAGGAGGAUCACUGCGAGUUCGAAACCAGCCAGGGCUACAAAGUGAGCUCAAGGCCAGCCUGAGCUGAAUAUCAAGACUCUGUCUCAAACAGACAAAAAAAAAAAAAAAAAGAAGCAGGCACGUGAUUCAGCUUGGGCCAGUGAGACACAAAGUGAAGGCUGCCACAAGGUCUUUCCUGCUACAAAUAACCAGCUUUAGGAUUAAUCAAAACAACACAGAGACCCAAAGAACCCAGGUCCUUCAUAACAUCACGGUGCGGCCGUGGGAUUCCUGAAAACUAUCACCUACGCUGCCUGGGUCUGCUGGCGGGAGCCCGUGCAUUUCCUUCUGCAGGAGCCAGUGUCCAGUCUCCCUGCCGGCUGCGGAAGGAACCGAAUAGCCGGGCCCCACCUCCAGGCUCCUCUCCCUCCAACUGCAUCCUGCCUCAGUCUCAGGAGCAUCGCACCAUCUGCCCGUAUCCCUGCCCCUUCAGCAGGCCCUGAUGCCAGGCAGCAUGACCCAAAACCCCAAAUCUACUCCAGACCGGCAGCCCCACACCUUUCAGACAGCUGUGGAUUACCCGGGAGCACUCUACUUCCCAUGCACGGAGCACUUCACAAAAUGUAGCUUGUUAACUCUUCACUCCCACUCCUUAGGUAGAAACUGUGAUUAGAUGAUUAUCCCGAGUUUACAGUCUAGUGCAGUAGGGACUGCGGCUCCAGAGCAACCAUGUAACUCAACCCCAGGUCCCACAGUAAAUCCUAGCUUCACUCAGACAGCUGCCUCAUGCCUAAUUCAUUCUCUCCUCUCUCUCCCUCUCUCUCCCUCUCUCUCUCUGUCUCUCUCUCUCUCUCUCUCUCUCUCUCUCUCUGUACCCCAGGUUGGCCUUGAAAUCCUCCUGCCUCAGCCUCAUGAGUCAGGAUACACCACCAUGGCCAGCCAAAUCCUCAUUCUUAACUAUGAUUUCCCUUCUCCCAGAAACUCAAGGGAAGAAAGCAGCGCUCCCGCCUACAAGCGGGACAUUAAAAAAAAAAAAAAAAUUACACUCAGCCUCAUAUCCCAUUAGCUCAAAGAACACCAUUCAUUCCUCGAGAUUAACAGCAUGAGGCAUUUCAGAGGUCCGCUCCUGGAGUCUAUCUUGCUUCCCAGAGCCCACAGCACACACUGAGGGGAAGGAGGGCUGUGAGCUGCAGAGUGUGUCAGGACGCUGUGUUCUAUCUUAUCUGCCACAACCGCCAUGGACUCCAAGGGAGCGCAAAUCAGCUUCCAGGGAGACAGGGUUAGGUAUUUCAUAACCGCAUCACAUAAAAAGUGAAGAUGCCGAGUUGUCCUGACAUCAUAAAAACAACAACAAGGGUACAACUCUAAUACAGAGUUUCUCUAGAAUCAUUUUGGGCUGAAAUUGUGUACUGUACAUUUCACAGAAAAUUCAAAUGAAAAAGAAAAAAAACUUUCUAAUAAACAACUCUUAGACCCCAUACACAUGCAGAACUCCACCUGAUAAUUCUCUUAUUAAAAUGCUGGCUCCUAUUUCCUAUGAAACAUCAAUCCCCGCCCGCGACUGCCUCCCCCCGCCCCCCCGCAAGCCCACCAGCCGCCUGCGGUCGGUCCCCAGCCUCAGCUCCCCAACACCCGUGCCGGCCGGGACUGCACAGGUCCUUGAACAGAGCAUCUAUCCUGACGCAAACUCCCAGUGCACACCUAAAAUCACAAAUACAGAAGUACUGAUCCCCGUAACUCAACGCCUUCCCCGCUCAACUGAGGGACCCUUUCUCAUGCACCCAAGGGGUCCUUUCUGCAGUCUGAGAUGCUUUGGUAAAACCAGCAUGUAUUUCUUUCUUCAGUUCCUCAGAUAAAUCUGUUCUUACUACAGAUUUUAGCAACCUCAGCACACCACUAUUUUUUCCUGUCCUUACUAAGUGGAGAAUGUUCACCUUUUCACUUAAAGGAAG